rnacentral:rRNA from 1 species
CCCUUAGAUGUUCUGGGCUGCACGCGCGCUACACUGACGCACGCAACAGGUGCCUGCUCCGAGAGGACUGGGUAAUCAUUUGAGUGUGCGUCGUGAUGGGGAUAGAAUAUUGUAAUUAUUACUCUUCAACGAGGAAUUCCUAGUAAGCGCAAGUCAGCAGCUUGCGCUGAUUACGUCCCUGCCCUUUGUACACACCGCCCGUCGCUCCUACCGAUUGAAUGGUCCGGUGAAGCCUCGGGAUUGUGGUUGGUUUCCUUUAUUGGAGAUUGAUUGCGAGAACUUGUCUAAACCUUAUCAUUUAGAGGAAGGUGAAGUCGUAACA